rnacentral:rRNA from 1 species
UUGACCUCGGAUCAGGUAGGAAUACCCGCUGAACUUAAGCAUAUCAAUAAGCGGAGGAAAAGAAACCAACAGGGAUUGCCCUAGUAACGGCGAGUGAAGCGGCAACAGCUCAAAUUUGAAAUCUGGCCUUCGGGUCCGAGUUGUAAUUUGUAGAGGAUGCUUUUGGUGCGGUGCCUUCCGAGUUCCCUGGAACGGGACGCCAUAGAGGGUGAGAGCCCCGUCUGGUUGGACACCAAUCCUCUGUAAAGCUCCUUCGACGAGUCGAGUAGUUUGGGAAUGCUGCUCUAAAUGGGAGGUAUAUGUCUUCUAAAGCUAAAUACCGGCCAGAGACCGAUAGCGCACAAGUAGAGUGAUCGAAAGAUGAAAAGCACUUUGAAAAGAGGGUUAAAUAGUACGUGAAAUUGUUGAAAGGGAAGCGCUUAUGACCAGACUUGAGCCCGGUUAAUCAUCCAGCCUUCUGGCUGGUGCACUUGGCCGGCUCAGGCCAGCAUCAGUUCGGCGCGGGGGAUAAAGGCUUCGGGAAUGUGGCUCCUCCGGGAGUGUUAUAGCCCGUUGUGUAAUACCCUGUACUGGAUCUGA